rnacentral:tRNA from 1 species
GGAGAGGUGCAGGAGCGGUUUAACUGGCAGUCCUGGAAAGACUGUGUACCAGCAAUGGUACCGAGGGUUCGAAUCCCUCCCUCUCCGCCA